rnacentral:rRNA from 1 species
UGGUAAUUCUAGAGCUAAUACAUGCUAAAAACCUCGACUUCGGAAGGGGUGUAUUUAUUAGAUAAAAAACCAACGCCCUUCGGGGCUCCUUGGUGAUUCAUGAUAACUUAACGAAUCGCAUGGCCUUGUGCCGGCGAUGGUUCAUUCAAAUUUCUGCCCUAUCAACUUUCGAUGGUAGGAUAGUGGCCUACCAUGGUUUCAACGGGUAACGGGGAAUUAGGGUUCUAUUCCGGAGAGGGAGCCUGAGAAACGGCUACCACAUCCAAGGAAGGCAGCAGGCGCGCAAAUUACCCAAUCCCGACACGGGGAGGUAGUGACAAUAAAUACUGAUACAGGGCUCUUUUGGGUCUUGUAAUUGGAAUGAGUACAAUUUAAAACCCUUAACGAGGAACAAUUGGAGGGCAAGUCUGGUGCCAGCAGCCGCGGUAAUUCCAGCUCCAAUAGCGNAUAUUAAAGUUGUUGCAGUUAAAAAGCUCGUAGUUGAACCUUGGGCCUGGCUGGCCGGUCCGCCUCGCGGCGUGCACUGGUCCGGCCGGGCCUUUCCUCCUGGGGAACCGCAUGCCCUUCACUGGGUGUGUUGGGGAUCCAGGACUUUUACUUUGAAAAAAUUAGAGUGUUCAAAGCAGGCCUAUGCUCGAAUACAUUAGCAUGGAAUAAUAGAAUAGGACGUGUGGUUCUAUUUUGUUGGUUUCUAGGACCGCCGUAAUGAUUAAUAGGGAUAGUCGGGGGCAUCAGUAUUCCGUUGUCAGAGGUGAAAUUCUUGGAUUUACGGAAGACUAACUACUGCGAAAGCAUUUGCCAAGGAUGUUUUCAUUAAUCAGUGAACGAAAGUUAGGGGAUCGAAGACGAUCAGAUACCGUCGUAGUCUUAACCAUAAACUAUGCCGACUAGGGAUCGGGCGAUGUUAUCUUUUUGACUCGCUCGGCACCUUACGAGAAAUCAAAGUUUUUGGGUUCUGGGGGGAGUAUGGUCGCAAGGCUGAAACUUAAAGAAAUUGACGGAAGGGCACCACCAGGAGUGGAGCCUGCGGCUUAAUUUGACUCAACACGGGGAAACUCACCAGGUCCAGACACAAUAAGGAUUGACAGAUUGAGAGCUCUUUCUUGAUUUUGUGGGUGGU